UUGACCUUGGCCUUUCCAGGUUGCAGAACAGUUAGAAACAAACACCUUUAGUUUAAUCCACCCUCUUUGUAGAGGGUUUUAUUACAGUACCCUGGAGCAGAAUAAUGAAACCUUACAGAGAAAUGAGUGAUUCAAAGAACUCGUCUUAGCAGCCCGACUGUUGGCAGGGAGCGGGGAGUUACUCUGGAAAAGGUCGCCAAGUGUUUCCAUGAGAAGAGCUCUCAAAUGGAAAGUGCCUUUCAGCCAUCGGAGCCCAUCUGCCUGACCACGGGCUGGGGAUAGAAGCCAGGACCUCCUGAGUGGCUCUGUCAUUGAGUUACAGUCCCUGUCUCCAAAACACAGUAACAAGAAGUUUUAGGAGCUCGUCUCCCAACAGAAGCAAGAGAAAUAAUAGUCUCCUGAAGGUGGGGCCAUACCUCUGUGCAUUGAGAACUGGUCUGAACAGGACCCUCAAGGCUUUCUGUAGGGAAUAACACCAAACGGAGGCGCAGAGAAAGCAAGUUUAAACACCCUCUUGGCUCCCACUGAUUUCUACCUCAUCAUGUCUAGGCAGUUCAAAAAUCCUACUGCUUGUCUCUUGCCAAUUCAAAUUCUCUGUGGCCAGAAAACUGUUCAUUUGAUAUUAUGGAUAGCUUCCUUGGUGGAAUACAUUAAGUAUAAGCUUCUUUGUCUGAACUUCUUGUCUGAUUUUUUUUCAAAUGGCAGCUAACCUCAAGAAGACGUUGUGAACAAUGUUAGCUAAGGUUCUGUGCAUUUCUUCUUUUUCAACGACUAGAAAUAGCAAGUUGUAAGGUGUUAGAACAACGGCGAAGGAUUUGCAAGGAUUUAAGAAAGACUAUCACACAGGAUUGAGCCAGCUUGCAGGAAGUGUUGUGUAUUCUUUGUUAUGUGCCCAAAUUACACAGUGCCAGCUCCAAGAAGACUAUGAAACUGAGCGCACCGAGGAGCCAUAAAGUUGGCAGCGGUCGUUAUGGCCCGGAGGCAAGAAUACUGGAAGGUUUUGGAAACAUCCGGAGUUUUCCCAAAGUUGAUGCUAGAAUCCCAAAUGAUCACGGAUGACAUUGUACCAUUCUGUGAGAUGUGUGAGGAUAUGAGUAACAAUGAAGGAGGGAGUGGCUAGCCUGGCAGGCUAUAAAGACAGACUGAGAUGGCCCUUGGAGAAAAGAGUACUACCAGCUGAAUGUGUUGACAUUCCAUCUCCUGCACAGAACCCUAAUUACUGGGCAGCCAUAUUUACAACAGUUAAUGUGGGCAAAGAUUUAUUGCCUACAGAAGGUAGGAAUGGCAGAGGGGUGAUUUCCAAAGCAAUGCCUGCCUUGAACAAAGGAACAACAGCCUGGACUUUACCCAGGGAGCCUGUGCCUACUCAUGUGAGAAGGCACGUUCAGGGUAGACAUAUCCUGAGCAUGCUCUUUUCAAGGGCACAUUACUGAGCAGAUACAGGUUAGUUCAAGACAGAAAGAUGACUAGCAAGAAUCCUUCUGAGCAUGCUUGUCUUGUGUCUCAAGGAUGGUGGGUACUGAUGCGCCCGGGACAGGAAUGUUUAGCUUCCUUGCCCCGAACGACUGUAACUACAGCCGAAGAGAAGGACAUUUCUAAGGUAUGUUAAUAAAGGCAGAGGUCUGCCUUACUGAACUGUUAAUGAUUGUGUCUCCAUUUUAUCCUUUGGUGGUGCGAACACAAAGCAGAAGAAAAAUGGCUUUUGUGAGGUUGGGGUUGGUUCAGCAUAAACUAUCUGCUAGUGAACAUCAAUCAGACUGUUAAACUUUCCAGAAACUUUUUUUUUCUUUUUUAAUCGAGGGAUGAUAGCGAUGGUGGCACACACCUGUAGUCCCAGCACUAAGGAGGUAGAGGCAGGACGACCUUGAGCCUGCAUAGCAAGACCAAAAAAAUAACAAACAAAGAAUAAAAGAAAAUCGAGAGCUAGACUAUGGCUUGUCAUAUGAAAUGCCUUGGGGUUGAUUCCUCAAAGGUGGAUGGGGCUGUUAGACUUUCUAUGAAGGAAGCCUCUGCCUCACCUGAGGCCACCAAACUUUUCCUUGUGUUUUCUUUUAGAGGCUGCCUUGUAGUGAGGCUUGCAUUUAGCUCUGCGAUCCAUUUGAAUUCAAUUUUCGAAUAUGGUGAGAAGUUUGUGUUUUUGCACCUGGGUGUUCAGCUUAUGGAAACAAAUUCCUUUUCCUUUGUAUUCAUGUUUCUUUGUUAAAAAUCAGUUUUAUGUACGUAGACAGGUUAUUCUUGGACUCUGUAUUAUGGCCCAUUAAAGAAUUUGUCCACCUUUAUCUUAGUAUACAUUUCCAUAUUUGUGCUAAACAUGUGACCUCAAUUAUUGUAAAAUUAUAAUAAAUUUAAAGUAUGGUUGU